GUCGGCGGUAUACAAAGAGGCUCCUGGGACUGGACUGGGAGCCGCUGGAGGAGCAGGUACCGGGUGUGGAGAUGUGCCUGUCACAGGUAUGAUCACAUGUUUGCAGUUACCUACCAGCAAACUUUGAUAGACUAAGAGUCAGGAAACUCUAUUUUCCUCCUUAUUCUGGCCCUGAUACUAUGACCUUGAACAAGUUACUGUCUACUACAUGAGGAAAGCUGCUUCUCAUCACCAGACUGCCUCAUCUCCCAGGAUACUUCAUAUGGACUAAUGAACCCCAAACAAGAGGAUUUAUAUCACCAAGGGAGCUCCCCUGCCUCAGACUGUCAAUGGAAGAAACAUAAAGACUGUGGGUGUCUGGAGCUAAGAGACAUGGAUCUGGAGGCUGCAAGCAUAGAAUGCAGAGCAGAAACAACAUAACACCAAGGCCAAGAGAGAGACGCAGCAGGACCUGCAUCUCCAACCAUGUCAGGUGCAGAUGGGGCCCUUUCCAAGCAGCGUACUAUAGACCUGGCGGCUGUAGAAGCUAUACGUGUAGGAGCAGCAAAGCAUGGGAGGUAUGGGAGAAGGGAAAACAAAAAGCAGAUUUGAAGACAGAAUCAAAGUCCAAUGGACCUGGUAGAGGUCGCUGCCUGUCCCCAAGAUCUUCCCUGAGCAUCCUAUACAAGAGCAGCGGCAGAUGGUGAAUUCUGGCUGUGCUAAUUCUGGCUGCGCCUGUGGCUGCCCAUAGAUCUUUCAAGAAGCCAGCAUUCAAAGAACAGAGUGAAACGCACAAGAAUCUCAUGAAUUUUGCUGUUGUUCCAAAGGUUCUUUUGGCACAGACUCUGCUUAGCAGAUGAACCCAUAUACUUCCAAUCACAGUAAUCCAGUUAAAAAAAAAUAACCAGACAAUCUUACAGAGAUCUUGAAAAAAAGACUUGUCCUUGAAUACUAAAGAGGAGGGGGACAGGACAUCCUCCUAUUUCCAUUCCUUUGAGGAAUCCUGAGUCCUAAUGUCAAGAGUUGAGGCCUUUCACAUAGCUCAGAAAUACUGAGCAUCAUGAUGUUCAGGUAAUUGAAAAGCACAAACAUUUUCAGUCAAUAAGAUUUUUGUUUCGUAAUUCGUUUUGGCAGAUGUUUAACAUUUGCCUGCUCCCAUAAACUUUAUUUCCAACUUGCUAGAAGUCUGCCGUGUGCCAAGACCAAUACUACAUAUGGAGCCAAGAUGGCAACUUCCACAACCCAACAUAUGUCUAGGUUUGCAGGACCUACGCUUCCAUGUUUGUUUAUGUUCUAGCUGUACCUCCAAAAUAUUUAUUUUCAUGAGGAAUAUUAACACUCUAAAUGGAACCAAGGAAAUGAUUAAUACUGAAUCACAACCAUGUUAAAAAAAAAAAUCGAUCCUGUGAACUAGAUGGUGGUAAGUCGAACACAUUUCCAAUCCCAGGUAGCAGUGAUCAGUACUGAAAGGUAAACUGUGUUGAAUAAAUCCUACAAGUCAAAUAUCCCAUCUGACCCCCACAGUCCUCUGUGUCAGCAUGAAGGCACUGGGAGAAGUGCAUCGAUGACAAAAAGGAGCUGAUGAGAAUAGGGCUCCCUGUUCCAUCUCUUUCUUCAUCAUUGGAAAAGCAGAGUGUGUGCAAGACAGGAUGGGUACCAUAUAAUAUGUUACUUGAGGCUCUGGGGUCUUAGGAAAUGUUUGCUAUUCUGUCCAAUGUUUCACAAACUGUUCUAUGAAUCAUUUAAAAAAUUUUUUAAUGUUUAUUUAUUUUUGAGAGAAAGACAGAGUGUGAGCAAGGGAGGGGCAGA